AACGCACAUUGCGCCUCUUGGUAUUCCGGGAGGCACGCCUGUUCGAGCGCCAUUACGAACCCCAAGCGUGGCUUGAUGUUGGGCGAUGUCUUUUACAAUCGAAAAAGGGACACGCCUGGAACGCGUUGACGCCGGCGGCGGACCACGAGCGUAGCAGGACGAAAGUCGAUCGCUCUGUUGGACUCUGUCGGACGGUUUGUCUUGUGUCUUGAAGCACUCGAGAGAUCGAGGGUGGAGAGAAAAACCCACAAAAGUUUGGCCUCGGAUCAGGCGGGGAUACCCGCUGAACUUAA
rnacentral:misc_RNA from 1 species